rnacentral:rRNA from 1 species
CAAGUCGAACGCGAAAGUCCCCUUCGGGGGGCGAGUAGAGUGGCGCACGGGUGAGUAACACGUAGGUAAUCUACCUCUGGGUGGGGAAUAACAGCCGGAAACGGCUGCUAAUACCGCAUAAUGCAGCGGCACCACAUGGUGACAGUUGUUAAAGCGGGGGAUCGUAAGACCUCGCGCCUAGAGAUGAGCCUGCGGCGGAUUAGCUAGUUGGCAGGGUAACGGCCUACCAAGGCGACGAUCCGUAGCCGGCCUGAGAGGGCGGACGGCCACACUGGCACUGACAUACGGGCCAGACUCCUACGGGAGGCAGCAGUCGGGAAUUUUGGGCAAUGGGCGAAAGCCUGACCCAGCAACGCCGCGUGAAGGAUGAAGCUUCUCGGAGUGUAAACUUCAUAAGAAUGGGACGAAUAAGGAGGGGUUAACACCCCCUUUGAUGACGGUACCAUUUGUAAGCUCCGGCUAACUCCGUGCCAGCAGCCGCGGUAAUACGGGGGGAGCAAGCGUUGUUCGGAUUUACUGGGCGUAAAGGGCGCGUAGGCGGCGCAACAAGUCACUUGUGAAAUCUCCGGGCUUAACCCGGAGCGGCCAAGUGAUACUGUCGUGCUAGAGUGCGGAAGGGGCUACUGGAAUUCUCGGUGUAGCGGUGAAAUGCGUAGAUAUCGAGAGGAACACCUGCGGCGAAGGCGGGUAGCUGGGCCGACACUGACGCUGAGGCGCGAAAGCCAGGGGAGCGAACGGGAUUAGAUA